AUUGGCCAUACUGUCUUUAGGGUCAGCACUUAAGUGGAUUCAGGUCACCGUCCCGGGCUGCAAGUCGCCAUCGUGGGAUGACCUCAGAGAGGAGUUCCUGCCCGGGAAAGUAUCAGCGCUGCAGGCCAAAAUAUCAUCCGUCUUUGGCGGGAGCAGAGCAUGUCUGUAUCGCACUAGACGUGUGGACGUCGCGAUCUACGGAGGGUUUCCUGGCUGUCGAAGCAACAUUCGUGGACAGCGAUUUCACGGCUCACAUGUACCUCCUCAGUUUUACUCGUCUGAUGGGGAGCCACACAGAUGCUUGGAUCUGCUCCGAGUAUGACACUGCAUUGCUGCAGUGGAACAUCGCUGACAAGGUCCUUUGUGUGGUGACAGAUAAUGCUUCAUCAAUGAUAAAAGCCUUUUCAUUUACUGGGUGGGAGACUAAAGAGGACGAUGAUGAUGACAAUUUCGACGACUGCCUGGAACGCUGAACCAAGGAGCUUUUAAGCAAGUUCCAUCAGUUGGAGCAAUCUUGAUUUGGCUGCACCGCCCAUAGCCUGCAGCUUGAGGAAACUUCGCCAUUUGGCAGGCAUGUGCUAUUAAAUAACAUAUUGGUUUA